GUAGAUGUUUACACCUUGCUUUUCUGAAAUAUUUACAGGUGAUUUUGCAAGAAACAAUACAGGCUCUCCUCCCUUCUGCUCGUCCUGACUGAACAUCUUGCUUCCACAGUAGUGUAAGGCCUUCAGUUUUCGGACACUCUCUCUUAUUUUAUUUGAUUUAUUAGCUCCAGUUCUAAUC
rnacentral:lncRNA from 1 species